rnacentral:misc_RNA from 1 species
UUAAGUUCAGCGGGUAUUCCUACCUGAUCCGAGGUCAACAUUCAGAAGUUGGGGUUUUACGGCGUGGCCGCGACGAUUACCAGUAACGAGGUGUAUGAUUACUACGCUAUGGAAGCUCGACGUGACCGCCAAUCGAUUUGGGGAACGCGGGUUACCGCGAGUCCCAACACCAAGCUGAGCUUGAGGGUUGAAAUGACGCU